UACGUAUGGAGCAAGCGUUAUCCGGAUUUACUGGGUGUAAAGGGAGUGUAGGUGGCCAGGCAAGUCAGAAGUGAAAGCCCGGGGCUCAACCCCGGGACUGCUUUUGAAACUGCAGGGCUAGAGUGCAGGAGGGGCAAGUGGAAUUCCUAGUGUAGCGGUGAAAUGCGUAGAUAUUAGGAGGAACACCAGUGGCGAAGGCGGCUUGCUGGACUGUAACUGACACUGAGGCUCGAAAGCGUGGGGAGCAAACAGGAUUAGAUACCCCGGCUGACUGACU
rnacentral:rRNA from 1 species